rnacentral:rRNA from 1 species
UGCGUAGGUGGUUUCUUAAGUCAGAGGUGAAAGGCUACGGCUCAACCGUAGUAAGCCUUUGAAACUGGGAAACUUGAGUGCAGGAGAGGAGAGUGGAAUUCCUAGUGUAGCGGUGAAAUGCGUAGAUAUUAGGAGGAACACCAGUUGCGAAGGCGGCUCUCUGGACUGUAACUGACACUGAGGCACGAAAGCGUGGGGAGCAAACAGGAUUAGAUACCCUGGUAGUCCACGCCGUAAACGAUGAGUACUAGCUGUCGGAGGUUACCCCCUUCGGUGGCGCAGCUAACGCAUUAAGUACUCCGCCUGGGAAGUACGCUCGCAAGAGUGAA